UACGUAGGGUGCGAGCGUUGUCCGGAAUUACUGGGCGUAAAGGGCUCGUAGGCGGCCAACUAAGUCAUACGUGAAAUCCCUCGGCUUAACCGGGGAACUGCGUCUGAUACUGGAUGGCUUGAGUUCGGGAGAGGGAUGCGGAAUUCCAGGUGUAGCGGUGAAAUGCGUAGAUAUCUGGAGGAACACCGGUGGCGAAGGCGGCAUCCUGGACCGAUACUGACGCUGAGGAGCGAAAGCGUGGGGAGCGAACAGG
rnacentral:rRNA from 1 species